CGUCGGUCCCUUUGCAGCCUCGCUGACCUGGAUCUGCGCCGCCUGCUUCGUCUUUUUAGAGUCUGUUUGAAUUCUUCAGACUCGAUAGAGCAAACACACACACACACUCCUCCAUUCAUGGCCUGGUGAGGGAAGUGUGUGAGCGCCAGGUCAACUGUGAACAUCAGGUAUUAAUAAUGCAGGACGGGAAGCAGCCCCUCCGACUACAGAGCAGUGCACUGCGACUCUGCGUCUCCGCUCCCCACCCCACACCACCCGACACAGACCGGGAGGAGAGCAAGACAGUGCACCAAUGAGCCACGGAGUCAAAAGGGCAAAAAGGGAAGGUCCAAGGCUAAUAAAAUCUGUCACGCAAAGUCCAAAG